rfam:Triticum aestivum genome assembly, contig: Triticum_aestivum_CS42_TGACv1_scaffold_223666_3B
CUUGUACUCCCUCCGUUCCAAAAUAGAUGACCCAACUUUCUAUUAAAGUUAGUACAAAGUUGAGUCAUCUAUGACCCAACUUUCUAUUAAAGUUAGUACAAAGUUGAGUCAUCUAUUUUGGAACGGAGGGAGUAGAAC